rnacentral:rRNA from 1 species
UUACAGGCUUAACACAUGCAAGUCGAGGGGCAGCAUGGUCUUAUCUUGCUAAGGCCGAUGGCGACCGGCGCACGGGUGAGUAACACGUAUCCAACCUGCCGUCUACUCUUGGACAGCCUUCUGAAAGGAAGAUUAAUACAAGAUGGCAUCAUGAGUCCGCAUGUUCACAUGAUUAAAGGUAUUCCGGUAGACGAUGGGGAUGCGUUCCAUUAGAUAGUAGGCGGGGUAACGGCCCACCUAGUCUUCGAUGGAUAGGGGUUCUGAGAGGAAGGUCCCCCACAUUGGAACUGAGACACGGUCCAAACUCCUACGGGAGGCAGCAGUGAGGAAUAUUGGUCAAUGGGCGAGAGCCUGAACCAGCCAAGUAGCGUGAAGGAUGACUGCCCUAUGGGUUGUAAACUUCUUUUAUAAAGGAAUAAAGUCGGGUAUGGAUACCCGUUUGCAUGUACUUUAUGAAUAAGGAUCGGCUAACUCCGUGCCAGCAGCCGCGGCAAUACGGAGGAUCCGAGCGUUAUCCGGAUUUAUUGGGUUUAAAGGGAGCGUAGAUGGAUGUUUAAGUCAGUUGUGAAAGUUUGCGGCUCAACCGUAAAAUUGCAGUUGAUACUGGAUAUCUUGAGUGCAGUUGAGGCAGGCGGAAUUCGUGGUGUAGCGGUGAAAUGCUUAGAUAUCACGAAGAACUCCGAUUGCGAAGGCAGCCUGCUAAGCUGCAACUGACAUUGAGGCUCGAAAGUGUGGGUAUCAAACAGGAUUAGAUACCCUGGUAGUCCACACGGUAAACGAUGAAUACUCGCUGUUUGCGAUAUACUGCAAGCGGCCAAGCGAAAGCGUUAAGUAUUCCACCUGGGGAGUACGCCGGCAACGGUGAAACUCAAAGGAAUUGACGGGGGCCCGCACAAGCGGAGGAACAUGUGGUUUAAUUCGAUGAUACGCGAGGAACCUUACCCGGGCUUAAAUUGCAGAUGAAUUACGGUGAAAGCCGUAAGCCGCAAGGCAUCUGUGAAGGUGCUGCAUGGUUGUCGUCAGCUCGUGCCGUGAGGUGUCGGCUUAAGUGCCAUAACGAGCGCAACCCUUGUUGUCAGUUACUAACAGGUUCCGCUGAGGACUCUGACAAGACUGCCAUCGUAAGAUGUGAGGAAGGUGGGGAUGACGUCAAAUCAGCACGGCCCUUACGUCCGGGGCUACACACGUGUUACAAUGGGGGGUACAGAGGGCCGCUACCACGCGAGUGGAUGCCAAUCCCCAAAACCUCUCUCAGUUCGGACUGGAGUCUGCAACCCGACUCCACGAAGCUGGAUUCGCUAGUAAUCGCGCAUCAGCCACGGCGCGGUGAAUACGUUCCCGGGCCUUGUACACACCGCCCGUCAAGCCAUGGGAGCCGGGGGUACCUGAAGUGCGUAACCGCGAGGAGCGCCCUAGGGUAAAACUGGUGACUGGGG